GGUAAAACGGGACUCGGAGCGGCGGGUCUCUGAGACGGCCGCCAGGUGUCCGAUGGCGUGCACGCGGGGACCAGUCCUCGGCCAUCAGGGGCAGCCGUCCAGGGCUGCCGCGCCCUGGGGUUUCGCCGUGUCUUUGGUGGUAACCAAGGUCACAUCUUUUUGUAGCUUUGCGGUCCAGACCUGGAAGGGAGACCCGAGUCUCCCUGGGGCCUGAUGGAGUAGCUUCUCUGGGAGCGCUGAGGGAAAGAUCAAGGGGCUGCUGCUUUUAAAGAAAAAA